rnacentral:rRNA from 1 species
AUUGAACGCUGGCGGCGUGCCUAACACAUGCAAGUCGAGCGGUAACAGGUGUAGCAAUACAUGCUGACGAGCGGCGAACGGGUGAGUAAUGCUUCGGAAUCUACCCUAUGGUGGGGAAUAACCAGCCGAAAGGUUGGCUAAUACCGCAUACGUCCUACGGGAGAAAGCAGGGGAUCGCAAGACCUUGCGCCGAUGGAUGAGCCGAAGUCGGAUUAGCUAGUUGGUGAGGUAACGGCUCACCAAGGCGACGAUCCGUAGCUGGUCUGAGAGGACGACCAGCCACACUGGGACUGAGACACGGCCCAGACUCCUACGGGAGGCAGCAGUGGGGAAUAUUGGACAAUGGGGGCAACCCUGAUCCAGCGACGCCGCGUGUGUGAAGAAGGCCUGCGGGUUGUAAAGCACUUUUAGUGGGGAUGAAAUGUGCAGGGUUAAUACCUCUGCAUUUUGACCUAACCCACAGAAAAAGCACCGGCUAACUCUGUGCCAGCAGCCGCAGUAAAAC